rnacentral:lncRNA from 1 species
CUCUGUCUCAGCUGACCGGCUAUCACCUGCUUUAUAAGAUGCCAAGGGCUACCUAUGUAGAUUCUCAGGUGGGACUGUAGGAACAAACCUGUGUCAAUGGUUAACUCAAGUUCUUGGUUUCUGGAGUUUUUCUUUCCUUUAUUAUUAACUAAAGAACAUUUUUACCAUUGCUCAGCUGGGAGCACCAAGCUCAUAGAGCCUCUGCAGGGAGAGUGAAUAAAGAUGGCACAGUAAAAUCCUUCCCCGGACUUGCACCUAAAAUUGAGAAGGUGCCAGAACAUUAAAGACUAUGAGCCAUACACCAGGAUCAUCACAGCAAGAAGCCUGUUCCUGUUUGUAAACAGCGGACACAACUUCUCAUUCGGCAUGGAAUUUUGUUAGGAUCUGCUGUAGCAGCUUGUGAAACAGAAGCACGGGAGUACAGACUGAGCAGAACUAGCAGAGUGAAGCUGAGAACGCACUGGCCUUUGUGUGUGGUGAAUGUGUCCGGAAAGGCAAAGAAGGACGAGAUUCUCCUGUGGGGUUUCUCAUCUCCAUGGCGGAAGGUGCUGACAGCUUCAGAGAGAGCAGGAAGGCGCAAAGAAGAAGGGAGCCUGAGAUGUGUAGUCGCGGCGCUCUGAGGAGAUGAAAAGGACAUGCGGUUUUAGCCUGAACUUCCUUAUCUGUAACUAAGGUUUUAACUGAAAACUUAAAUCAACAAAUAGCCACAGAACUGUUACUAGUACAAAAUCCACCUGGAUG